AUUAUUUAUAAAGUGCCACCAUAUUCUGCAGCAUGGUACAGCAAUGAGACAAACAUCGCAUAUAUGGACAGUUCGGUAUCACAGCACAGGGCUGUUGUUCCUACAUGGCAGAAGAGGUGGAAGUGCACACCAGGAAUCAAUAAGGUGGCCUGCCGAAAGCAUGAGCGAGUGCUACGCAAGGCUUCCAGAAUAAAAUGAACACUUUUUCAUGGCUCCAUUCCUCAUGUAAGCAUUUCUUGUACAAUUGCUGGUAUAUGACAGUG